CCUACGGGACGCACCAGUGGGGACUAUUGCACAAUGGGCGCAAGCCUGAUGCAGCCAUGCCGCGUGUAUGAAGAAGGCCUUCGGGUUGUAAAGUACUUUCAGCGGGGAGGAAGGUGUUGAGGUUAAUAACCUCAGCAGUUGACGUUACCCGCAGAAUGAAGCACCGGCUAACUCCGUGCCAGCAGCCGCGGUAAUACGGAGGGUGCAAGCGUUAAUCGGAAUUACUGGGCGUAAAGCGCACGCAGGCGGUCUGUCAAGUCGGAUGUGAAAUCCCCGGGCUCAACCUGGGAACUGCAUUCGAAACUGGCAGGCUAGAGUCUUGUAGAGGGGGGUAGAAUUCCAGGUGUAGCGGUGAAAUGCGUAGAGAUCUGGAGGAAUACCGGUGGCGAAGGCGGCCCCCUGGACAAAGACUGACGCUCAGGUGCGAAAGCGUGGGGAGCAAACAGGAUUA
rnacentral:rRNA from 1 species